CUCCUCUUGUAAGGACUCUGUGAUUACUUUGGAUCCUCUAGAUAAUCUAGGAUAAUCUAAUCUCCCCAUCUCAAAACAAUCACAUUUGCAAAAGCCUGUCUACCAUGUAAGGUAACAUAUCCACAGAUUCUUAGGAUCACGAUGUGGACUCCAGGGAAGGCCAUUAUUCUGUCUACCGUAAUGAUGGUACAGAUACAGAAUAUAUGUUAAGCUGGACCACAUCUGCAUCCUAGUCCUGGCUAUUACAACCUUGUACCGGAGUCAGCCACAGAUGAUGAAACACAAUUAGCAGGAGUCUCAAAGAGUGCAUGCCUGUGACCAUGUUGUUGGCAGGUUUGAUUCAGAAACACUUACUAUCAGCAUACAACAUUCAGAAGAACAACUAAAAUUUCAAAGAAUGGUCUACCAAGUAUCGGCAAGGAUGUAUCUUACAGACAAAAAGAACUGCAAGAAAAACCCAAAAGCGAAACGACAAAGCCCUCACCCGCACUCAGUAUUAACAUUAUCAGUAGUAACACCUUAUGGAAGCACAGUAUGAGAGAAAUGCAUGAUCGUGUUAGAUCGACAGCCUGGAUUUUUGUCAUGGAUGAAAGGAGAAAAAGCCAGGUGAGCACAAAGCAAGAAGCCAGCAAGAGUCCUCAUCAAAAAUUAUGAUCUUGAACUUUCAGCCACCAGAACUGUGAGAAAAUAAAUUUGUUUUUUGUUUU